ACGCUCGACACCUACUGGAGGCAGCAGUGGGGAAUAUUGCACAAUGGGGGAAACCCUGAUGCAGCGACGCCGCGUGAGCGAAGAAGUAUUUCGGUAUGUAAAGCUCUAUCAGCAGGGAAGAAGAAAGACGGUACCUGACUAAGAAGCCCCGGCUAACUACGUGCCNGCAGCCGCGGUAAUCUGAGCGGGCUGGCAAGGC
rnacentral:rRNA from 1 species